AUUGAACGCUGGCGGCAGGCUUAACACAUGCAAGUCGAGCGAGAGGCGGACGGGUGAGUAAUGUCUGGGAAACUGCCUGAUGGAGGGGGAUAACUACUGGAAACGGUAGCUAAUACCGCAUACCAUCAGCUGUGCCCAGAUGGGAUUAGCUAGUAGGGGGGGUAAAGGCUAACCUAGGCGACGAUCCCUCGCUGGUCUGAGAGGAGGACCGGCAACACGGGAACUGAGACACGGUCCAGAAUCCGACGGGAGGAAGUAGGGGGGAAUAUGGCACAAUGGGCGCAAGCCUGAUGCAGCCAUGCCGCGUGUGUGAAGAAGGCCUUCGGGUUGUAAAGUACUUUCAGCGAGUAGGCGUUACCCGCAGAAGAAGCACCGGCUAACUCCGUGCCAGCAGCCGCGGUAAUUC
rnacentral:rRNA from 1 species